GAUGAACGCUGGCGGCGUGCCUAAUACAUGCAAGUCGAACGAAGAUCUAGCUUGCUAGAUCUUAGUGGCGAACGGGUGAGUAAUACAUAAAUAAUCUGCCCAUAUGACUGGGAUAACUAUUGGAAACGAUAGCUAAUACCGGAUAGGUUGAUCGGAGGCUUCUCUGAUGAAUUAAAGUAGGAUUUCUACACAAAUGGAUGAGUUUAUGGCGCAUUAGUUAGUUGGUGGGGUAACGGCCUACCAAGACGAUGAUGCGUAGCCGACCUGAGAGGGUGACCGGCCACACUGGGACUGGGACACGGCCCAGACUCCUACGGGAGGCAGCAGUAGGGAAUUUUCGGCAAUGGGCGCAAGCCUGACCGAGCAACGCCGCGUGAGUGAUUAAGGCCUUCGGGUUGUAAAGCUCUGUUGUAAGGGAAGAACAUUCAGGAUAGGAAAUGAUCUUGAACUGACGGUACCUUACCAGAAAGCCACGGCUAACUACGUGCCAGCCGCCGCCGUAA
rnacentral:rRNA from 1 species